AUAAAGUCAGGGGUGUUUCACUCUGUAUUUUAGGACUCAUUCAGUUAUGAAAUGCUGUUACAAGGGAGAAAAAAAAUCACCGUAUGAAUUAUACUUAAUUUUAAUGCAUAGAAGAAGAGACAAGACUACAGACUGAGAAGAAAAAAGGGCAAAAAUAUUUUUAAAUGUCUUCUCCAGAGAUGCUCACUUGCUGUGCGUCUAAGGUUAAAAAGCUCUGAGAAGAUAAAAUCAAUAUAUUAUUGUUGUUUUUUAAAAAUCCAACUCAGUCUUUUUUUGCAGAUGUAAAUUUAUUAUAAUGAGAAGAAUGGCAAGCUUUAAUUUGCCUAGAGAAAGUUGGGACAACAUUUGCCCUAAUCUAAAAAAGAAAAGAAAGAAACUCAACACCCAGGAAUAUAAUUUUCUUGCAGAAAGUGGCCUGAUGGGCUGUAUUUCUUUACAGAUUGAAUCACAAUAUGAAUACAGACCCCAGCAAAUGCCGAGUUUAACUCUGAACUCAGUAGAAACCAGUUCCGUCCUCCAG
rnacentral:lncRNA from 1 species